rnacentral:lncRNA from 1 species
UGAUCCAAAAUCUCGUAGAGUGGAUGACCUUUCCAUUUUGACUUGUUAGCCGAUAGUAGGAUUAUUUGGACCUGCUCCUGGGUGAGCUAGUCACUGUGGAGUGCGGAGCCUCUGGCAUGGACAAUCAUCUUGAGAUGGAAGAUGUCCUGUCCAGACUUAGCAAUUGAAGGGGCGAACAUGGUUGGCACGAAAGUGGUCGAUGCAAAUGCCAACAUUGAAAUUAGAGCUGGUGAUGGAGAUGGCAGCUACAUAGAAUGGUAGGGG